UCUUGACUUCCGGAUAAAAUGUGACAACAAUGGACGUUGCCAUAAAGAAAAGUUCCCAUUAGUUUCUCUAUAUGCUCCUUGCCUAGCAGUUAACCUGUUUGGAAUAUUG
rnacentral:snoRNA from 1 species